CCACAGUCUGCAGGGAAAGCGCGCGCCGUGUAAAUCGAAUCGAAACGGAAACAAAGCCCCGAAAACGGUGGAAAAAGGAAAAGCGGAAAGCGUCGGAAAAGCGAAUGCCAAGUGAAUACAUUUAAUCCAUGAAUCACGACUGGGACGAUGUGCAGAGUCGCGGACUCUAGUGAUUCCCCAGCCGAAAUUAAAUAAUAAAUUCCCAAGGAGGAUUGCAAAAAACACAAACAUGCCUCCCAAGAGACGAAGGAGAUUCCAGGGACUCUACUACCAUUCAUCGCCGCCCAAAGUGAUGCCCAUGAAUGGACAGGCGGGUGGGCAAAAUGGACGCAAGCGUCGGGACAACGAAGAUUUCUCGGUGAAGUUAUCCACCAUCAGGAUCUGGAUUCACGAGAAGGACAUCGGCAAGUUGACGCGUAUUUUGUGGGGGGGCCAGGGCAAUCGCCUGUGCCAACAGGCCAGCAACAAUGGUCGAGUAAAGCGCUUCCUGGCCGCCGUUCCCCAUGUCAUGAAUGCCAUCAAGGAUCUGCACCAGGCGGUCAUCGACAACAAUCUGGAGACCGUGCAGGCGCAGCUGGAGCCACCGGUGCCCAGUGCGGUGGUCACCUGCAAGGACGGCAAUGGCUUGAACAUCAUCCACAAGGCCGCCGGACUGGGCCACACCAAGCUGCUGGAGUACCUGGUGGGCAUUUGGCCCGAGGGCGCCCAUGAGACGGACAUUACCGGAAAAACGCCGCUCCACUGGGCCGCCAGUGCCAAGAACAACAUGCGAUGCUACACCCUGCUCACCCAAGCAGGCUGCGACGAGGAGGCCGUAGAUUAUAAAAUGAAGACCCCCUCAUACUAUCGCCACAAGCCGCACGAAAUCGAGCGCGCCUUCCUGGUUUAUGUGCCGGAUGCACCUCGCGUCUCCCCCGACAGCGCCACCGAUUGGGAGGCCUUGUGCGAUGAGGGUGGAGUGGACAACGGAGCGGGAGACGAUGCCAGCUCCAAGAAACUGGACAUCAAGGUGCCGCCGUCUGUGAAUGGCCGCAAAUCGCUGGACGAUAGCCUUGAGAACUCCUCGGAGCUGGACACCAACGACGGUACGAGUGCCAAUGAGAAUGACGAUCUGUCCAAGGCGGAUGCGGAGCCGGAAGCGGAAGUCGCCUCGCCAUUGCAGCGCCGACCGGAAACGCCGGCCACCUUCAACACGAUCAAUGGUGAAGGCGAUGGCGAAGACAGCGAGGUCGAGAAUAUUCGAAGAGCUGUAAGCGCGGAUGGAGGCGGAGAGGCAGAGGAAAACGGAGUUGGGCAGGACGAAGGAGGCGGAGGAGAUGCGGUAAUUGUGGAGAAUGGCGUAGAUCACGAGGAGGCUCCGGAGGAGGAUCAGCCAACGGAGCCCGAAGACGUGGGACAACCCGAGGAGCCUGCUACUGAGAGUGAGCUUGAUGGAAACAAAAAGACUGAAGUGGAGCCAGAGGAGCCGGUGGAACAGGUGGAGCAGGUGGAGCAGGUGGAGCAGGUGGAGCAGGUGGAGCAGGUGGUGCAGGCGGAGCAGGUGGAGCAUGAGGCCUAUGAGGAGCAGGAGACAGUGGAUGAGCCGGAGAGCAACGCUGAGGAUGAAGCGGAUCCGGAAGUGGCCACCAUGUCCGUAGAAGAAAGGGAACCAGAGUCGGAGAACGAUAACGAUGACGACGAUGAGGAUGUAAUAGCUUCGGACAGCAAAGGAAGCAAUCCACGGGAGGGUCAGCAACCAGGAGGCAGAGCACAGCCACCGGAGGACAACGGCAAUGAGUCCCUCACAUCAGCAAUGGCCAUUGAGGGCUUCGUGCACGGUGCACCCGAGGAUUAUACAGUUCAGUCUCAAACUGCAGUUGAUGAAGAUGAGCGCAUUAAGCGCAUUGUGGAGUCCGGAGACUUGGAGCAGCUGGCCGAGAUUGUGCUGAAUGGCGAGGGCGGCAGCUUGGUGGGCCUGAAGUCGCCAGAACCGGAAAUACAGGCCUUUCUCAACAACGUGCCCAGCUAUAUGGAGAAAAUACAUCGCGUGCACGACGCGGCACGUGACGGAGGUUUGCUGGCACUGCAGCAGGCUCUGGAUCGCCGGAAGUUUGCCAUUGCAAAGAACGACAUAUCGCCUAACGGCUCCACGCCCUUGCACGUGGCCGUCCUCUUUGGCCAUACGGACAUCGUUCGGUACUUGGCGUCCCGCUUUCCGGAGACCAUGACAAUUACGGAUAAUGACGGACGCACGCCGCUUCAUUACGCAGCCACAAUUAAGGACAACGGUCAUUUCUACAACAUGCUCCUGCAAUUGGGCGCCAAUCCCAAGUCACUGGACAAGCUGGGCCACUCGGCCGAGUUUUACCUGGACAAGGACAAGGCGAAAAACAUUCUCAAAUACACCGAGCUGCUGAAUAUUUUCGGUGCGGAGGAACUGGAGAACCAGUUGCUCAAUGACCAGGUUCCCGACGAUCUGCACAGUGCCCGGCGGGAGCUGCAGGAUGGCGAGAUCUCAAGGACCUUGGAGCGCUGCUUUAGCGUCAUUUCGGAAUCGGGUAAAUUGCUGAGCGGCACUACGGCAUCGGCUCUGUCCCAUCGAAAGCCACUGAGUGCAUCCUCGCUGCAACUUUCGGUGACCAGCUAUCUGAGUAGAUUCCUCAAGCGUGGUGUCUACGACAAGAUCAAGCGCCGGCAGACCCGACUCGAUCACAAUCUCUUCGAUGUCCUGUGGCCAGCGAUGCGUAAAACAUCAAAGGAGCGCCACUUGGAGGAGGACAUCAACUGCGGGAUUAUAGCACCAGACUUUGAUGUGUUUGUGGUGUUCCAAGAGUUCCUGGUGCCGUUGCUUAAGGACAUGCAUUGCCUGAGCAUUGAUGCUGAUUUCAAACCGCAGCCUCGACUGGCCUAUUUUCCCAUGGACAAUGGGGAAAGGCUCAACACGGCGGCUUUCGUCUUCGACGAUGAGUCGCUGCUGGUCACCCGCUGUUUGGUGGAAGUCUCCAGGAAUCUGGAUCAGUUGGAGCUACCCCUGAACCUUACCAUUGGCCAAUUGGAGCAAGCGGAACGCCUGAUGAUGAGUAAGAUAUUUACCACACACUUUGCGGAUGCCAUUGGCGAAACGGAUUCGGGAAACUAUUACACCAUGACCGAACUCUUGGAACCCGACUCGGAGGUGACGAUGAUGCUCAGUAGCCUCGGUCUGAUGAUUCCUCUCUUAGAUACCAAGGAUCUGGUGCAGGCUGCCGAGUCCACAGCCUUCAAUGGAGCUCUUUGGCCAUAUGGCAGGGGUGUCUUUGUCAAUUCAGCUAACAAUUUGGCUGUGUGGCUGAAUUGCCAGGAGCACUUGAGGAUAAUCUCCACGAGCAGCAGCAAAGAGCCAGCGGAUAUGGGAGCUGCUUACACGAGAGUGGGGAGAGCCAUAACCUACCUGGAAACCCAACUGCAUUUCAAGGAGAGCUACCUCCUGGGUUACCUCCAGUCCAGGCCCAGUUACUUGGGCACCGGACUCAAGAUGACCACCAUAGUGAAGCUAACCAAUCUGAUGAAGGAGAUGGACAACCUGCGGCACUUGUGCUCGGUGCGGGGAUUGAGUAUGGUGACCAAUCGGCUUUCAAAACUCACCGUGCGCCUGGUCAAUAUGCAGAGCAUGGGCGUGGUGGAGUACGUCCUUUUCCAGGACUACUGCACUGCUGUCACCAAUAUCCUGUCGCUAGAGAAAGACAUGUCGCUGACGAACUCCAAGCACAUAGCCACCAUGCUGGUAAAGAUCUUCAAGCGCAAGAAGAACAGCAUCGUGGAUCGCAACUAGAAGAAAGCACUAGAUUCCAGCUCAAUGUACAUUCCAAAUAAAACAAUACCUCCGCACAUUAAAUCCCUAAUACAUAUGCUAAAUUUGACUGAUACCUGCCACGAGCCCUCAUCUCAAAUCUCCUCCGCUUUCGCUGCGUUUAAGGUUAAUCCGCAAUCGUCAGGCGCAGCCAGUGAGCUUUCAGGCCAAUCCAAUCUUCAAGACGGAGCAGG